CUCCUGCACUGUGCCAGUGUGAUCUGAUACGAGCUUGAAGAACAGCAUCUCAACUUCCAGCUCCCCAUGUAGCAGCCUUCAGGACUUCAUAUGAAAUUCAACAACUUCAGCUAAUAAUUCACAUGAAGAGUCUCAGCCCAAAACGUCAAGGAGCCAUUUCCCUCCAUAGAUGCUGCCUGACCCACUGAGUUCCUCCAGCAUCGUGCGCAUUGCUCCAGAUUCCAGUAUCUGCAGUCUUUUGUGUCUCCAGUGUUUGAAUUUUAAAAGAAGGUCACCUCUGGCUGAAAUCACACCAGAUAUGAAAAUGGACCAAGUACUUUUUAAAUCACCAUACCCCUUACAUGGCUGACGUUUUCCUGGUGUGGUCCUUGUGGAUCACAAGAAGAAUUUCAGAGAUAAAACAAGAAUCAUAAAUUUCCAAAUGGAGUCCCAAGGAUAAAAUGCAAUUGCCUGCAACACAGUCACUGCUGCCAGAGAGCAAAAGGAGCAAGAAAACCUGGAACCCAAGGGCCAUGAAAGAGAAAUUGGAGACCGAGAGCAUAAGCACCAGGAGGAAGAUGGCAGCUACCAGUGAACUUCCCUGCACAGCAUCCACAGCCUCAACUUCCAGCUGAACCAAGGCAAGCAGGCCAAACUAUAGAGGGUUUCCCAAUAGAUGCUUGAUUUUUCCACAAGGAGUCUGCAAAAUGAGAUUCCACAAUGCAAAUCAAAUCACUGUCUCCACACUGCAAUGCUUAACAUCAAUAAUCAACCAGGGAAGACCAGAUGCCCAGCACAAUCCUCUCAUAGCCAACUGUGCCUGUCUGCUGCACUGGACACAAGACACUAAUGAAGAGCAACCCUAUAACAUCAAUGGCUUGUUACAACAAUCUACAUUUCCUGACAGGUGGCAUCUUCUUUAAACAACCAUCUCACCUCUGCAAAAUGUAGUUUUCCUCUGAUAAACAGUUCUAAAUAUUAGUCAACAUUACUGGUAGCUAGACAACAUUGUCAACACAUCUGAGAAUUAUGACUGAACAUACUGAUCAGACUAGCAUUCAGUGGGUAAGGAGAUACAAAUAUGGACAAACAUUUCAAUGCAGUUCACAAUUAUCCAAUGAUUAAAUCUCUCACGUCACUAAUUAAGGUUCUUUUUAAGCCAUUCUAUCC